rnacentral:rRNA from 1 species
GGCGAAAGCCUGACCCAGCGACGCCGCGUGGGGGACGAAGGCCUUCGGGUCGUAAACCCCUGUUCUGGGGGAAGAACCAGGUCGUAGCGAAUAGCUAUGGCCUGCUGACGGUACCCCAGGAGAAAGCCACGGCUAACUGCGUGCCAGCAGCCGCGGUAAUACGCAGGUGGCAAGCGUUGCCCGGAAUCACUGGGCGUAAAGGGUGCGUAGGCGGCAAGGCAAGUCGCAGGUCAAAGCCCGGGGCUCAACCCCGGAAGGGCCUGCGAUACUGUUUUGCUUGAGGGCCGGAGAGGCUGGCGGAAUUCCCGGUGUAGGGGUGAAAUCCGUAGAUAUCGGGAGGAACACCGGUGGGGAAGCCUGCCAGCUGGACGGUUCCUGACGCUGAGGCACGAAAGCGUGGGGAGCAAACCGGAUUAGAUACCCGGGUAGUCCACGCCGUAAACGAUGGGUGCUAGGUCUGGGGAGGAAACUCUCUGGGCCGCAGCUAACGCGUUAAGCACCCCGCCUGGGGAGUACGGCCGCAAGGCUGAAACUCAAAGGAAUUGACGGGGGCCCGCACAAGCGGUGGAGCACGUGGUUUAAUUCGAUGCAAAGCGAAGAACCUUACCUGGGUUUGACAUGCCAGGGUUGUACCCCGAUAAAAUAUUGGGGGGAGUGUUGGGGUUUCCUCGCACGCUCUGGCACAGGUGCUGCAUUGGCUUGUCGUCAGCUCGUGUCGU